GCAAGGCUAAACUCAAAGGAAUGGACGGGGGCCCGCACAAGCAGCGGAGCAUGCGGCUUAAAUUUCGAUGCAACGCGAAGAACCUUACCUAGACUUGACAAAUACGGAAAACAUGCAGAGAUGUAUGGUCCUAACGGGCCGUAUACAGGUGGUGCAUGGUUGUCGUCAGCUCGUGUCGUGAGAUGUUGGGUUAAGUCCCGCAACGAGCGCAACCCUCGUUCUAUGUUGCCAGCACGUAAUGGUGGGGACUCAUAGGAGACUGCCGGGGUCAACUCGGAGGAAGGUGGGGAUGACGUCAAAUCAUCAUGCCCCUUAUGUCUAGGGCUGCACGCAUGCUACAAUGGCUGGUACAAAGGGCUGCGAUACCGCAAGGUGGAGCGAAUCCCAAAAAGCCAGUCUCAGUUCGGAUUGGGGUCUGCAACUCGACCCCAUGAAGUUGGAGUUGCUAGUAAUCGCAGAUCAGCAACGCUGCGGUGAAUACGUUCCCGGGCCUUGUACACACCGCCCGUCACGUCACGAAAGUCGGUAACACCCGAAGCCGGGUGCCUAACCGUAAGGA
rnacentral:rRNA from 1 species